CACCAGACUCCUACGGGAGGCAGCAGUGGGGAAUAUUGCACAAUGGGGGAAACCCUGAUGCAGCGACGCCGCGUGAGCGAUGAAGUAUUUCGGUAUGUAAAGCUCUAUCAGCAGGGAAGAAGAUGACGGUACCUGACUAAGAAGCCCCGGCUAACUACGUGCCAGCAGCCGCGUUAAUACGUAGGGGGCAAGCGUUAUCCGGAUUUACUGGGUGUAAAGGGAGCGUAGACGGCGAUGCAAGCCAGAUGUGAAAGCCCGGGGCUCAACCCCGGGACUGCAUUUGGAACUGUGUGGCUGGAGUGUCGGAGAGGCAGGCGGAAUUCCUAGUGUAGCGGUGAAAUGCGUAGAUAUUAGGAGGAACACCAGUGGCGAAGGCGGCCUGCUGGACGAUGACUGACGUUGAGGCUCGAAAGCGUGGGGAGCAAACAGGAUUAGAUACCCCAGUA
rnacentral:rRNA from 1 species